UCUCCUUGACUGUCGCCCUCGGAAGAACUCUGCUCCAUGGGCCUGCAGGCUGAAAUUUCCACUGUUUUCCAUCCUUCAGUUAAUAUGUUGCCCUGAACAAGACAGAACAAGUAGGACACAGAAAAGCCCUCCCUGAGGCCGCCUUCCUGCCCUGUAGGACUGCAGCUGCUGGGAUCCAUUUCCUGCUCGAGAGAGCAGUGCCAAGGAUAGGAGUGGGGGUGACUGCCCACAGGCCGGCUCAAAGGCCACCCAGGGUCAGAAGACAGACAGUUCCCUGAUUUGAGGCAACCGGCUAUGAGUCACUUGUCAUCCAGAGUUGAGUUAAUCAGACUGGGCAGCCCCCACCUCGCUCAGCCAACUGUGGAGCCUGCCCUCUGGGGCCCCGGCCUGCACAGAUGCCCCACAGCGGCUCCAUCCUAUGGACAGGCACGGUUGUCUAUGCUUCACCCACUGAUGAACACUUCAGUUGCUUCCAUCUCUUGGCAGUUGUGAAUAGUGCUGCUGUGAAUGUGCCAGGCCGUAGGGGUGCAGCCAUCAGGUACCUCACUCUGCGGCAUCUGGGCAGCAUGGACAUCGUCCGGUGACAAGGACCUCGCUCCCCAUGUGACACUGGAAGUGGCCGUCACCAGUCAGGACCGGAGAGACCAUGGGUGCAGGCACACAGCCACCAUGCUCAAGCCAAGAGUGAAUGGUUCUCCUUUUAAAAUAUUCUGUAAUAGGGCUUCCCUAUUCAAUGGUUCAAUGUUUAGGAGUCACCUUGCAACGCAGAGGACACCGGUUCAGCCCCUGGUCUGGGAAGAUCCCACACGCAGCAGAGCAGCUAAGCCUGCGAGAUGCAACAGAUGCAACUACUGAAGCCUGUGUGCCCUAAGAGCCCACGCUCUGCAACAAGAGAAGCCACCGCUGAGAGGCCCGUGCACCACAACUAGAGAAAAGCCCGUGCGAAGCAACAAAGAUCCACCACAGCCAAUAAAUAC